UACAGAGGUGGCAAGCGUCGCUCGGUAUCACUGGGCUUAAAGGGCGCGUAGGCGGUGCGGUGCGGUUUCGGUGAAAUCCCUCGGCCCAAUCGAGGAACAGCCGGGGCUACGGCCGCGCUAGACGGCAUCAGGGGACAGUGGAACUUCCGGUGGAGCGGUGAAAUGCGUAGAUAUCGGAAGGAACGCCGGUGGCGAAAGCGACUGUCUGGGGUGCCUGUGACGCUGAGGCGCGAAAGCCAGGGGAUCAAACGGGG
rnacentral:rRNA from 1 species